AUCAUCGCAAAACCCCGUCGGCCCGUUUGGUAGGCGAGGAUACAUGGGCCAAACCUCCUCGAUUCCCCUUCCAUUCACUUCCUCCCACGCGGUUCAGAACCCUCGAGGCCCCCCUCGAGGAUUUCGCCGCCCGACUCGUAAGACGCCGCCGCCCGAGACGCCGCCGCCGACUCCUCCACAAGACGCCGCCGCUGCCCGACGCCUCGACGCUGGCGAUCUCGUCCGGCAUACUGGACUUCUCCCCUGCGGGACCUAAUCUCGCGGAAGACGGGCGACCAUGCUUUGCUGCCACAAGUCUCCUCCACUUUGUGCAGCCCGCAAACAUGUCUUGGAGCAUUCGCCGAUCAAACGUGUGUUUAUGUUGUGAUGAGCCGUUAACUUUUGUUGACCGAAUAUCUUGUAUUUUUCAUUUGGACCGUGGUAUGUGGCAUGUGUAUGUUUUUCAUUUGGACCGUGGAAUGUAUGCAUGUACCAUUUUCAUUAGAACCAUUGAUAAUAGUACUUGUAAGUUGUAACAGAGCAUGUUUGUUGUUUUGUGUAAUCUAGGUGCACUUUUCCUCCGUGAGCUUUUGAAGUUGUAAAAAUUGCAUUUUUAAUUAUAAUAUAGUGGUUUUGCAAA